AGCGAAACGGGAAGAGCCCAAACCAACAAGCUUGCUUGUUGGGGUUGUAGGACACUCUAUACGGAGUUACAAAGGACGACAUUAGACGAAUCAUCUGGAAAGAUGAAUCAAAGAAGGUAAUAAUCCUGUAGUCGAAAAUGUUGUCUCUCUUGAGUGGAUCCUGAGUACGACGGAGCACGUGAAAUUCCGUCGGAAUCUGGGAGGACCAUCUCCUAAGGCUAAAUACUCUCUAGUGACCGAUAGUGAACCAGUACCGUGAGGGAAAGGUGAAAAGCACCCCGGAAGGGGAGUGAAAUAGAACCUGAAACCGUGUGCUUACAAGUAGUCAGAGCCCGUUAAUGGGUGAUGGCGUGCCUUUUGUAGAAUGAACCGGCGAGUUACGAUUUGAUGCAAGGUUAAGCAGUAAAUGUGGAGCCGUAGCGAAAGCGAGUCUGAAUAGGGCGUUUAGUAUUUGGUCGUAGACCCGAAACCAGGUGAUCUACCCUUGGUCAGGUUGAAGUUCAGGUAACACUGAAUGGAGGACCGAACCGACUUACGUUGAAAAGUGAGCGGAUGAACUGAGGGUAGCGGAGAAAUUCCAAUCGAACCUGGAGAUAGCUGGUUCUCUCCGAAAUAGCUUUAGGGCUAGCCUCAAGUGAUGAUUAUUGGAGGUAGAGCACUGUUUGGACGAGGGGCCCCUCUCGGGUUACCGAAUUCAGACAAACUCCGAAUGCCAAUUAAUUUAACUUGGGAGUCAGAACAUGGGUGAUAAGGUCCGUGUUCGAAAGGGAAACAGCCCAGACCACCAGCUAAGGUCCCAAAAUAUAUGUUAAGUGGAAAAGGAUGUGGCGUUGCCCAGACAACUAGGAUGUUGGCUUAGAAGCAGCCAUCAUUUAAAGAGUGCGUAAUAGCUCACUAGUCGAGUGACACUGCGCCGAAAAUGUACCGGGGCUAAACAUAUUACCGAAGCUGUGGAUUGUCCUUUGGACAAUGGUAGGAGAGCGUUCUAAGGGCGUUGAAGCAUGAUCGUAAGGACAUGUGGAGCGCUUAGAAGUGAGAAUGCCGGUGUGAGUAGCGAAAGACGGGUGAGAAUCCCGUCCACCGAUUGACUAAGGUUUCCAGAGGAAGGCUCGUCCGCUCUGGGUUAGUCGGGUCCUAAGCUGAGGCCGACAGGCGUAGGCGAUGGAUAACAGGUUGAUAUUCCUGUACCACCUAUA
rnacentral:rRNA from 1 species